UACGAAGGGGGCGAGCGUUGUUCGGAAUUACUGGGCGUAAAGGGUGCGUAGGCGGUUUGGUAAGUCUGAUGUGAAAUCUAUGGGCUCAACUCAUAGUCUGCAUCGGAAACUGCCGGGCUUGAGUAUGGGAGAGGUGAGUGGAAUUCCUGGUGUAGCGGUGAAAUGCGUAGAUAUCAGGAGGAACACCUGUGGCGAAAGCGGCUCACUGGACCAUAACUGACGCUGAUGCACGAAAGCUAGGGGAGCAAACAGG
rnacentral:rRNA from 1 species